UGGAAGUAAAAAAUCGUAACAAGGUCUCCGUAGGUGAACCUGCGGAGGCAUUACACAAAAAAUAUGAAGGCUGCAACCGCCAGUUUUGGCGGGGAAGCUGAAUUAUUUUUCACCCAUGUCUUUUGCGCACUUGUUGUUUCCUGGGCGGGUUCGCCCGCCACCAGGACCACACCAUAAACCUUUUUUAUGCAGUUGCAAUCAGCGUCAGUAUAACAAAUGUAAAUCAUUUACAACUUUCAACAACGGAUCUCUUGGUUCUGGCAUCGAUGAAGAACGCAGCGAAAUGCGAUACGUAGUGUGAAUUGCAGAAUUCAGUGAAUCAUCGAAUCUUUGAACGCACAUUGCGCCCUUUGGUAUUCCAAAGGGCAUGCCUGUUCGAGCGUCAUUUGUACCCUCAAGCUUUGCUUGGUGUUGGGCGUUUUGUCUUUGGCUUUUGCCCCAAAGACUCGCCUUAAAACGAUUGGCAGCCGGCCUACUGGUUUCGGAGCGCAGCACAUUUUUGCGCUUGCAACCAGCUAAAGAGGCCAGCAAUCCAUCAAGACCUUCUUCUCACUUUUGACCUCGGAUCAGGUAGGGAUACCCGCUGAACUUAAGCAUAUCAAAAGCCGGGAGGAA
rnacentral:rRNA from 1 species